rnacentral:rRNA from 1 species
AUUGAACGCUGGCGGCAUGCCUUACACAUGCAAGUCGAACGGUAACGGGCCUUCGGGUGCCGACGAGUGGCGAACGGGUGCGUAAUACAUCGGAACGUGCCCGAUCGUGGGGGAUAACGAGGCGAAAGCUUUGCUAAUACCUCAUACGAUCUACGGAUGAAAGCAGGGGACCGCAAGGCCUUGCGCGGACGGAGCGGCCGAUGGCAGAUUAGGUAGUUGGUGGGAUAAAAGCUUACCAAGCCGACGAUCUGUAGCUGGUCUGAGAGGAUGAUCAGCCACACUGGAACUGAGACACGGCCCAGACUCCUACGGGAGGCAGCAGUGGGGAAUUUUGGACAAUGGGCGCAAGCCUGAUCCAGCCAUGCCGCGUGCAGGAUGAAGGCCUUCGGGUUGUAAACUGCUUUUGUACGGAACGAAAAGCCUUCUUUUAAUACAGGAGGGUCAUGACGGUACCGUAAGAAUAAGCACCGGCUAACUACGUG